CUCUGGCGCAGGGAUUUCUGGGAUGUGUAGUUUGCCUGGUCUUGUGGCAAUGGCUAAGGGACCACAAGCCCCAUAGGUGAUCGCGGCGUCGCGCAGACUGGUGCGAGUGCACGUCAGUACUACAAGUUCCUGGUGCGUCCUCUGAGGUUGAGAGCGACGUGGUGUGCUUAGGAUCUGCCAGUGACGUCGGGAGAGAGGGAGGCUGGGAAGAUGGCGGAAUGGCGAAAAGAAUUUAGAGGAAAAGUGGGCGUACACGAACUGAUAAAGCACCCGAGGCGGGAAAGCUGGACCUUAGAAUGAGAUAGUCCAAGGAGAGCCGGUGUGGGAGACCUACAACUGACCACCGUGUCGGCAGCCAUUUUGUGAAUCAAGCAGCCGCUUUAAAAGUUAAGUUUCUGUUUUCUGAGAUAAAUUUCUGUUUCCUCAUGGCCUGCCUAUUUUCCCGAAGUCAGGCGCCCUUCCCUAACUGUUGGGACUGCCCACUGUUGCCUUGUUACUCCCGCCUUUGUCUAGGUUGCCUGGUUACUCCCGCCUUAAGAACUUCCGCAUUUCUCCGUGCCCUAUAUAAGCACGGCACUUCCGCUAAUAAAUGAGACUUGAUCAGAACACUGUCUUGUCUCCAUUCUUCGUGUCUCUUGUCCCUCUAUCAUCCCCACUUCCCCUUUAGGGUCCUCGUUGACUGUAUCCGCGGGCCGGGUCAAGUGGCGUCCAACGCAGGGCCCCAGCACGGGGGAUCCAGUGACAGACGCUGUUCAAGAGGCCGGCAAAAUAAAAGUAAGAGGAUCAGACAGCCGGGAGCCUGCUGCGCUUUCUAGACCUCGGACAAUGAGAUCAACAAUCCAGAUCCCACUGCUGGGACUAAUGAUGAUGCUACCGCUGACUUUGUACGGCGGCUUUGGACCCCCAGUCAGCAAUGAGGAGUUUCUAAAGCAACUGUACGGUAACCCCUGUGAUUGCAGAGGGGGCACACUUGGCCCGAGUAGCAAAACAAAUGAUCUCAACACCCUAAACCUAAACCGAGUAGAUUGUGGAAACAAAGUGGCAUAUCUUAUGGCCAUGCCAAGUGUUACGGGUGGAAUGACACAAAAAUAGCAAUGUGGCUCUAAACCAAAAGUAAUACCCAAGAUCGAUGAUAAACCAGGACCAUGCCCUAAGGAAUGCAAUACUUAUUAUCCUGAAAUGCAUUCUUCCUGCUAUGAGUCAGUACAAGAGUGCACAGGAAGAGAUAAUAAGACCUAUUUUACUGCAAUACUACUAAGAACAUAUUCAGGCUCCUCUGGGGGCGACUGGGACAUUGUCCCCCGGGUUCUUGGUAAUUAUAAAUAUGCCCAAGCUUCAUGCUCGGGCACCAUAGGCAAAAAUGUCUGCUGGCAUCGGGUUGCCCCUAUCCACGUCUCCGAUGGAGGUGGACCACAAGACGUGGUCAGGGAACAUCAUACCAAAGAAUGAAUAAAAGAACUUAUAGAAUCCAUGGUCCCAAAGAUUCACUACCACCCCCUAGCACUCCCCAAGUCGCAAGGAGUCGAUUUAGACACCCAAACCUUAGAUAUUCUAAAAGCCACACAUAAAGCCCUCAAUGCCUCCAAGCCUACGUUAGCUGAAGAUUGUUGGUUAUGCAUGACCACGGGUACCCCUGUGCCCCUUGCAAUUCCUUUGAACACCACUCUAUUUGAGCUAACUCAAAAAAAUUCCCAAAAAUGUAGUGCCAGCCUCCCUUUUAAGGUGCAACCCAUAGGCCUUGACAGACCUCUCCCUUGUGUACAAGGAAGAUUUCAUAAUGAUAGCUCUGAUCUGGAUGUCGGUUUUGUCGCCUUCACUAAUUGCAGUCAGGUAUCUAAUUAUUCUUCUCUCUGUCCCGUUAGGGGACAAGUGUUUAUCUGUGGGGGAAAUACGGCUUUCUCCUUCUUACCCAGUAAUUGGUCGGGGUUAUGCGUCCUGGCUACCUUGUUGCCUGACAUAGACAUUAUACCAGGGGAUGAGCCUGUCCCCAUCACGUUUUGAUCUCGCUGUGGGCCAUAGCCAUACUAAAAGAGCGGUUCAGUUCAUCCCCCUCUUGGUAGGACUGGGCAUUUCGGGAACUCUAGCAACAGGGUCUGUAGGACUGGGAGUUGCCUUAGAGUCCCAUGUCAAACUUUCAAAUCAAUUAAUAAAUGACGUUCAGGCCCUAUCCAGUACUAUUCAAGAUAUUCAAGAUCAAUUGGAUUCUCUGGCAGAAAUGGUCCUCCAAAAUAGGAGAGGGCUAGAUCUUCUCACGACAGAACAGGGAGGGAUUUGUUUGGCUUUACAGGAACGCUGCUGCUUUUAUGCGAACAAGUCCGGCACUGUCCGAGAUAAGAUAAACUACAAAAAGACCUGGUCAAAAGGAAAAGAGAAUUAUUUGAUAGCCCUAUUUGGAGCACCUGGAAUGGGAUUUUGCCUUUUUAACAAAUUGAUGGCCUUUGUCAGACAACAGGUGGAUGCCAUAAAAAUACAACCCCUACAGGUUCACUAUCACAGGCUCGAGAUGGCUGAUAGAGAAGGUUAUAUAGAGCCCGCAAGACUACGUUAUGAUGAUAUUGCAUAGGGUAAGACCUUCUCACCUUGGUGCACUAGACUGGAUAGCCAGAGACGGGCAACUGGAGCUCACAUACAGUGCCAACUACCGCCUAAGACAGGAGCUGAGCCUUAUGCUGCUCUGUUUUCCAAUGACGGGUAAGGUUAGGUUGGUCUUACGUGAAAGUCUCCUGACCCAAGACAGGCACAGUCUCCUCAAGGAUUUUCAGCCUCAAAUUUUAUUAAAGGAAAAGGGACCUGUGGGAGACCUACAACUAACCACCGUGUCGGCAGCCAUUUUGUGAAUCAAGCAGCUGCCUUAAAAGUUAAGUUUCUGUUUUCUGAGAUAAGUUUGUUUCCUCAUGGCCUACCUAUUUCCCCGAAGUCACGCGCCCUUCCCUAACUGUUGGGACUGCCCACUGUUGCCUGGUUACUCCCGCCUUAAGAACUUCCGCAUUUCUCCGUUCCCUAUAUAAGCACGGCACUUCCCGCUAAUAAACGAGACUUGAUCAGAA